GAGUUUGAUCAUGGNUCAGGAUGAACGCUAGCGGCAGGCUUAAUACAUGCAAGUCGAGGGGCAGCACGGGUAGCAAUAUCUGGUGGCGACCGGCAAACGGGUGCGGAACACGUACAGAACCUUCCUUUAAGCGGGGGAUAGCCCAUAGAAAUGUGGAUUAAUACCCCAUAGUAUAUUUUGAUGGCAUCAUUAGGAUAUUAAAGAUUUAUCACUUAAAGAUGGCUGUGCGUAUGAUUAGGUAGUUGGUAGGGUAACGGCCUACCAAGCCAACGAUCAUUAACUGGUGUGAGAGCACGACCAGUCACACGGGCACUGAGACACGGGCCCGACUCCUACGGGAGGCAGCAGUAAGGAAUAUUGGUCAAUGGACGGAAGUCUGAACCAGCCAUGCCGCGUGAAGGAUGAAGGCCCUCUGGGUUGUAAACUUCUUUUAUAGGGGAAGAAAUGCAUUUUUUCUAAAGUGUUUGACGGUACCCUAGGAAUAAGCACCGGCUAACUCCGUGCCAGCAGCCGCGGUAAUACGGAGGGUGCAAGCGUUAUCCGGAUUCACUGGGUUUAAAGGGUGCGUANGUGGGCUUGUAAGUCAGUGGUGAAAUCUCCGGGCUUAACCCGGAAACUGCCNUUGAUACUAUA
rnacentral:rRNA from 1 species